rnacentral:ncRNA from 1 species
CCGGGAACCGCACGGCCGCAAAUCCGACCUGUCGAUUCGGGCGCGUCGACUCGACCCGCCCGGACGACUUGGGAUUGCGGAAGUGC